AAUGAACGCUGGCGGCGUGCUUAACACAUGCAAGUCGUACGAGAACGCUUCAGCUUGCUGAAGCUAGUAAAGUGGCGUACGGGUGAGUAACGCGUGGGUAAUCUACCUUCGAAUUGGGGAUAACGUUACGAAAGUGACGCUAAUACCGGAUAAUAUCAUAGGGACUUCGGUUCUUAUGAUCAAAGAUGGCCUCUCCUUGGAAGCUAUUGUUUGGAGAUGAGCCCGCGUCCCAUUAGCUUGUUGGUAGGGUAAUGGCCUACCAAGGCGACGAUGGGUAGCUGGUCUGAGAGGAUGAUCAGCCACACUGGAACUGACACACGGUCCAGACUCCUACGGGAGGCAGCAGUGAGGAAUUUUGCGCAAUGGGGGAAACCCUGACGCAGCAACGCCGCGUGAGUGAUGAAGGCUUUCGGGUCGUAAAGCUCUGU
rnacentral:rRNA from 1 species